AAGUACCUCAGUAUCAAUUUAAUAAUAACCUGUAGAAAAAGGGGAAGAAAAGUUCUCGUUUUAUUUUUCGUAGGCCCCCAAUAUCUCGUAGGCCCUAGGCACUGUGCCUAAUGGAUGACCCGUCCCAUCCUGAGUGAAACCCAACUAUCCCAUACCCCCACAAUAUUAUCUUACUAAUGAAUUAUGAAGUCUUAAAUAUGUAAAAUAAACUCUAGGGUCAUGAUUAAGAUAUCACAAUAAAUCAGAUAUAGGACGAUAUUAUUUUGGUUAGCUCAGAAUAAUUAGACAUAACUAAAUUAUUUGGCAAAAACUAAAUAAAGGUGCCAGUCAUUCUGAGACAGCUUGUAUCUCUCUAGGGUAGUUAUCACCUCACCGACUCAUCAUUAGUCUGCAUAUUUCAGGCGGCUGAACAGGAUGGGCGGGGAACUGCGUUUUGAUGGCAAGGUUGCAAUAAUAACAGGCGCUGGUGGCGGCCUGGGUCGUUCCUAUGCCUUAUUGUUUGGAUCCCGUGGUGCAAAGGUGGUUGUAAAUGACCUAGGAGGGGACGCAAAGGGGGAAGGAAAGAGUUCCUCUGCUGCAGACAAGGUAGUGGAUGAGAUCCGUAGUGCAGGGGGAACAGCUGUUGCCAACUAUGACUCUGUGGAGAAUGGAGCAAAUAUUGUCCAAACAGCACUUGAUAAUUUUGGUCGUGUGGAUAUACUGGUGAAUAAUGCUGGCAUCCUAAGAGACAGAUCCUUUGCUCGUACAUCUGACACAGACUGGGACUUGGUUUAUCGUGUACACUUACGAGGGGCAUUCAUGGUCACGCGGGCAGCUUUUCCGGUUAUGAGGCAACAAAAAUAUGGCCGCAUCAUCAUGACUGCCUCAACAUCUGGAAUUUAUGGCAACUUUGGCCAGGCUAAUUACAGUGCUGCCAAACUAGGAUUGCUUGGGCUCAGCAACACUGUUGCCAUUGAAGGUUACAAAUACAAUAUUCACUGUAAUACCAUUGCUCCUGUGGGUGGCACACGCCUGACGGAGGGCCUCCUACCCCCAGAAGUGUUUGAGGCUCUUAAACCAGAGUUAGUGGCUCCACUGGUAGCAUGGCUCUCUCACGAAGACUGUGAAGAUAAUGGUGGGCUUUAUGGGGCUGGUGGUGGAUGGUAUGGAAAGUAUCGCUGGGAACAUACAAAGGGAUCUGUGUGCCAAAGCUCACACGGGGACAUUGUCUCCCCAGAGCAAGUGCGUGACAAUUGGGAGAAGAUAAUUGAUUUUACAGGGUCUGUUCAUCCAGCAUCCAGCCAAGAGAAUUCUGCACUAUUAAUUGGGGCUUUACAAGAAAUAAGUGAGAAGUCGGAGGUCAAGGCCAACCCCACAUCAUCCCCAUCUGCUUCACUUACUGGACCUCUCUCUGCUGUUGGAGUAACAUUGGGGCCAACAAGUUACACAUAUGACCACAAACAUUUGAUCCUGUAUGCUCUUGGAUCUGGUGUCUCCACAAAAGAUGAGAAUAGUCUUCAGUUUUUAUACGAGAACAGUGAGAACUUUUCUCCUCACCCAACUUUUGGUGUUGUGGUAUCACAGUCAUCUUUAAUGAGUGGAGGAGGCAUUUGGAGUAAAAUUCAGAAUUGGUCAGUUGACUUUACAAAGUUGCUUCAUGGAGAAAUGUACAUAGAAAACAUUAAACCACUACCAACCAAUGCUACACUGAGCACAGAAAUGAAGGUGGUGGAUGUUUUAGACAAGGGUUCUGGAGCUGUUCUCAUUGCCGAGUCAUUGACAAAGGAUGAGAGUGGUGAUCCUGUUUCUCGAACACAAUGGUCACUCUUUUUGGUUGGUGAGGGAAAUUUUGGUGGUCCAAGGAAGAGCACCAAAAGUGUACCUCUACUUGAUCCUCCUAAGCGAAAACCUGAUGUUACUGACGAGUUUAAGACAAAUAUUGAUCAGGCAGCACUUUAUCGUCUUAAUGGUGACAACAAUCCUCUCCACAUAGAUCCGCUCUUUGCUGCCAUGGGUGGCUUCAGUCAGCCAAUCCUACAUGGUCUUUGUUUCUAUGGCAUUUCUGCUCGAAUCAUCUUGAAACAUUUUUGUAAUGACGAUGUCAAGUUGUUUAAGGCUAUGAAGGCCCGUUUUGCCAAAACAGUGAUCCCUGGUCAGACACUUGUGGUUGACAUGUGGAAAGAAGGGUCACGGAUCUUCUUUACUUGCACUAUCAAGGAGACGAACCAAGCUUGUCUCACAGGUGGAUUUGUGGAUAUUGUGGAAACAGCUUCAGUGAAUACUUCUGCUUCCACCUCUAUGCAGUUAGCUAGUGGCAGUGUGUUCCAUGAAAUUUCUCAGAGAGUGGCAAGUACUCCUGGAGCUGCUGAGAAGGUGAAGGCUAUUUUCUUAUGGAAUAUCAACAAAAACAAGACACCAGCAGCACAGUGGACUCUUGACUUGAAGAAUGGCCCUGGAUCGGUGUAUGAAGGAACACCCAUAAAUGGAGAGAAACCAAGUGUAACGCUGACUCUAGAAGAUGAUGACAUGGUUGCUCUAGUGACUGGCAAAUUGAAUGCACAGAAGGCCUUUAUGUCAGGGAAAUUAAAAGUGUCAGGAAAUGUGAUGCUCACUCAGAAGUUGCAACCUUUUCUUAAGCCUCAGGCCAAAAUGUGAAGCUAUGGCAGUGCUUAAUUGAGGACAGGAACCGGUGAAGGAGACUUACAAGAGUAGUGGUCUGAAUGAGUGGAGCAUUGACUAUAAUGCUUUUGAGAAAUAAUUUACAUCUUUUAUCAUCAAGAAUACAGACAAGACAUGGCUUCUGCUCAAAUCCACUGCUUCAUUAACAGCAACUAAGACAACUCAUUCAAGGAGCAAUUACCAUUACUGCCAUAUGAUGGUCACUAUUAUGCAAUAUCCAACUGACUGCAUGGUCCCUCUUCACAAACGCAACCGUGGAGGGAGUCCUGGAGGCUGUCUGGAGGACAAUCGAAACUAUGAAUGAAGAGGCCCUGCCCCUACCCGGGGGACUAUAUAAAAUUGGUCUCGCUGUGUGUAAAUUCGGCCCAUUCACCUUCAAAGGAGAAGAAUAUACCAAGCACAGUGAGCUUACAAUGGGGUCUCCAUUGAGUGCAGUAAUGGAGACUCUGGCGACAGACUAUACUGUUAGAACAUCAUGGGUACAAGCUCGACAUGGUUGAGGUGCAAUAAGCUAUCCAGCUUAUUUGAGUUAAAGAUGAUGUUUGGUAACUUGUUCCACUCAUCCACUACUCUAUUUCCAAACCAAUGUUUACCUAUGUCACGCCUAAAUCUAAAUUUGUCUAAUUUAAAACCAUUGU